rnacentral:rRNA from 1 species
UACGUAGGUGGCAAGCGUUGUCCGGAUUUACUGGGCGUAAAGAGCGCGCAGGCGGUCGAUUAAGUCGAGUGUGAAAGCCCCCGGCUCAACUGGGGAGGGUCACUUGAUACUGGUCGACUCGAAGGCAGGAGAGGGAAGUGGAAUUCCCGGUGUAGUGGUGAAAUGCGUAGAUAUCGGGAGGAACACCAGUGGCGAAGGCGACUUCCUGGCCUGUUCUUGACGCUGAGGCGCGAAAGCCAGGGGAGCAAACGGG